ensembl:lncRNA
GGGGGAGAGGUGUGAGAGGGGGUCAAAGACAGAAAGGGAAAGAUGAGAACAGAGGAGCAGGGAAGAAAGAGGAGGUGGGGGAGAGGUGUGAGAGGGGUCAAAGACAGAAAGGGAAAGAGAUGAGAACAGAGGAGCAGGGAAGAAAGAGGAGGUGGGGGAGAGGUGUGAGAGGGGUCAAAGACAGAAAGGGAAAGAGAUGAGAACAGAGGAGCAGGGAAGAAAGAGGAGGUGGGGGGAGAGGUGUGAGAGGGGUCAAAGACAGAAAGGGAAAGAGAUGAGAACAGAGGAGCAGGGAAGAAAGAGGAGGUGGGGGAGAGGUGUGAGAGGGGGUCAAAGACAGAAAGGGAAAGAGCAGAACAGAGCAGAACAGAGGAGCAGGGAAGAAAGCUUAUGAUUCAUGAAUCACAGUGCAACUAAACUACGUAUUCUCUCAGGUCAUCACAGUUACAUAAUAGUAUCUCUACCGGUGUCUCCUAACCAGCCUUGGGCCCCCAGUUGGGUUGUCUUUGAGCGGAUGAGGUGACGAUGACGGGACUAGGGAUUGGCAUCCUCUCUCACAGACAAUACCUGCAGAUAAGAGCGAUGGAGAGAGAGAGAGAGAUGAAUGAGUCUUGUGUGUUUUUAUUUCUAACACUAUGUCAGUCAUCACAAUCGUCAGGUGGUGAAAUACAAAACUGACCUUGGAUCAUUAACUCUGGGACUACUACAUCUGUCUGUAUUUCAAUGUUAACCAUCUCUUUAAUAA